rnacentral:tRNA from 1 species
AAUAAAGUGCCUGACUAAAGGAUUAUUCUGAUAGGAUAAAUUAAGUAUAUUUAUACCUUUAUUA